UACGUAGGGCGCAAGCGUUAUCCGGAAUUAUUGGGCGUAAAGAGCUCGUAGGCGGUUUGUCGCGUCUGCCGUGAAAGUCCGGGGCUCAACUCCGGAUCUGCGGUGGGUACGGGGCAGACUAGAGUGAUGUAGGGGAGACUGGAAUUCCUGGUGUAGCGGUGAAAUGCGCAGAUAUCGGGAAGAACACCCGUGGCGAAGGCGGCUACUCUGGGACGGUACUGACGCUGAGACGCGAAAGCGUGGGGAGCGAACAGG
rnacentral:rRNA from 1 species